GUAGUCUCGCACAGAUGCAUAUCAAUAAGCGGAGGAAAAGAAACUAACAAGGAUUCCCUUAGUAACGGCGAGUGAACGGGGAGGAGCCCAGCGCUGAAUCUCUCGGUGUUAUGCCGUUGAGAAGUGUAGCGUAUAGGUGUGGCUUUCAGUUUGUGCUGCAUGUCCAAAGUCCCUUUGAUAGGGGCCACUUUCCCGAGAGGGUGCGAGACCUGUGCGGACAGUGGAGCAAGCUGUAUGGUCAUAUCUUGGAGUCGGGUUGCUUGAAAGUGCAGCCUAAAGUGGGUGAUAAACUUCAUCUAAGGCUAAAUAUAUGGCGAGAAUCCGAUAGCGAAACAAGUACCUGUGAAGGGAAAGAUGAAAAGAACUUUGAAAAGAGAGUUAAACAGUACGUGAAAUUGUCAAAAGGGAAGCGUUUGACACCAGUGUUGUUUUUCUGAAAAUCAAUUAAAGAACUGUUUAUGCUAAGUUGUUUAGACUUUAUCAGCUAUCUGUUUAGUUUUGAGCUUUUCUUUAAUGCACUUUUCAGUUAACAAGUCAACAUCAAUUUCUUUUGCUGUAAAAAAGCUUGAGGAAGGUGGCUUGAGAUUCGUCUUAAGUGUUUAUAGCCUCUUGCCUAUGCAGUCGGAGAGAUUGAGGUCUGCAGCGUAGAUUCCUUCGGGGCUAAAUGCAUUUGUGCUAAGUUAUAGCAUUUUAUAGACAACUUGUUGACUAUGAUUUGUCUUGUAGCUUACUCGCUUAUGUUAUUUUACCUACGCUUAGGAUGUUGAGUAGCGACAUACGCAC
rnacentral:rRNA from 1 species